GCCCUACGGGAGGCAGCAGUGGGGAGUAUUGCACAAUGGGGGAAACCCUGAUGCAGCGACGCCGCGUGAGCGAAGAAGUAUUUCGGUAUGUAAAGCUCUAUCAGCAGGGAAGAAAAAUGACGGUACCUGAGUAAGAAGCACCGGCUAAAUACGUGCCAGCAGCCGCGGUAAUACGUAGGGAGCGAGCGUUGCCCGGAUUUACUGGGUGUAAAGGGUGCGUAGGCGGGUAAGCAAGUCAGAAGUGAAAUCCAUGGGCUUAACCCAUGAACUGCUUUUGAAACUGUUUAUCUU
rnacentral:rRNA from 1 species